GGAAGUUGAGCUUCAGGCGCGGCUCUUCCCCGUCACACUGGGACCGGACGCAUUUCCAUGGCGUGGUCCCAGGAACCUCUCAGAGUGAACUGAAUUGGAUGCAAGAUCACGGUGCGUCAGAGCUAGCAAGAUCCUUAGGAUCAUUUAGCCUGGUUUACUAAUAUUACACUAUGGAAUUUAAGCCCAAGGAAUGGAGAGUACCCGACGAGCGUUAUGUAAGGAGUCGAGUGAGAAGUAAGCUGGAUGCUCUGCUUGGCUGGCAGGUACAGAAUGUGCCAGACCCAUCUGUACCAGCCUGGAUCUCUUGAGGCAUCAGCACAAUGGACCUGGCCACACCAGUUUAUUCCACACCGCUGAGGCUGG
rnacentral:lncRNA from 10 species